rnacentral:rRNA from 1 species
CCUACGGGAGGCAGCAGUGGGGAAUCUUAGACAAUGGGGGCAACCCUGAUCUAGCCAUGCUGCGUGAGUGAUGAAGGCCUUAGGGUCGUAAAGCUCUUUCGCCUGUGAUGAUAAUGACAGUAGCAGGUAAAGAAACCCCGGCUAACUCCGUGCCAGCAGCCGCGGUAAUACGGAGGGGGUUAGCGUUGUUCGGAAUUACUGGGCGUAAAGCGCGCGUAGGCGGAUUAGAAAGUUGGGGGUGAAAUCCCGGGGCUCAACCCCGGAACUGCCUCCAAAACUGCUAGUCUAGAGUUCGAGAGAGGUGAGUGGAAUUCCGAGUGUAGAGGUGAAAUUCGUAGAUAUUCGGAGGAACACCAGUGGCGAAGGCGGCUCACUGGCUCGAUACUGACGCUGAGGUGCGAAAGUGUGGGGAGCAAACAGGAUUAGAUACCCUGGUAGUCCACACCGUAAACGAUGAAUGCCAGUCGUCGGGUAGUAUACUAUUCGGUGACACACCUAACGGAUUAAGCAUUCCGCCUGGGGAGUACGGUCGCAAGAUUAAAACUCAAAGGAAUUGACGG